UACGAAGGGGGCUAGCGUUGCUCGGAAUGACUGGGCGUAAAGGGCGCGUAGGCGGAUUGCUUAGUCAGGCGUGAAAGUCCUGGGCUCAACCUGGGGAUUGCGCUUGAUACGGGUGGUCUGGAGUUGGAAAGAGGGUCGUGGAAUUCCCAGUGUAGAGGUGAAAUUCGUAGAUAUUGGGAAGAACACCGGUGGCGAAGGCGGCGACCUGGUCCUUGACUGACGCUGAGGCGCGAAAGCGUGGGGAGCAAACAGG
rnacentral:rRNA from 1 species